rnacentral:rRNA from 1 species
GAUGAACGCUAGCGGUGUGCUUAACGCAUGCAAGUCGAACGAGAAGCUUGUUUUCGGAUGAGCGGAAAGUGGCGAACGGGUGAGUAACAUGUUGGUGACCUGCCCUUGAGAGGGGGACAACCAUUGGAAACGAUGGCUAAUACCCCAGAUGUUAAAGAGUUUAGAAGCCUUUAACUAAAGUUCCGGCGCUCAAGGAGGGGCCAGCACCCCAUCAGCUAGUUGGUAAGGUAACGGCUUACCAAGGCGAAGACGGGUAGGGGACGUGAGAGCGUGAACCCCCACACUGGUACUGAUACACGGACCAGAUACCUACGGGUAGCAGCAGCGAGGAAUCUUGCGCAAUGGGCGAAAGCCUGACGCAGCAACACCGCGUGGAGGAUGAAGCAUUUCGGUGUGUAAACUCCUUUUAUGGGUGAAUAGAA